UACGUAGGGUGCGAGCGUUGUCCGGAAUUAUUGGGCGUAAAGAGCUCGUAGGCGGUGUGUCACGUCGGCCGUGAAAACCUGCAGCUUAACUGUGGGCGUGCGGUCGAUACGGGCAUCACUGGAGUUCGGCAGGGGAGACUGGAAUUCCUGGUGUAGCGGUGAAAUGCGCAGAUAUCAGGAGGAACACCGGUGGCGAAGGCGGGAUCCUGGGCCAGUACUGACGCUGAGGAGCGAAAGCCAGGGGAGCAAACGGG
rnacentral:rRNA from 1 species